rnacentral:lncRNA from 13 species
CAUCUAUACACAAUAUCCCAUAACUACAAAGUGAAAAUGUUUUUAUACAUUUUUGCUAAUGUAUUGACAAUUAAAUACAGGCAGAGAAUCUCCAAAUACUAUGUUGAAUGAGCACCGGCGGAUGAAAGAGGGGGAGGAAAAUAGACAACUUCCUUCUACCACACCUUCACCA